ACAUCUUUUUUUGUAUGUACGUGUGCGUGUUCUCAUAUAUGCUUAUGUGGCACUCACGCUUUCUCUCUGACACACAUAUACUUACAAAUACACAGACGUCCAUUUCGUAUACACAUUCAUACACCUUUUCUUUCACUUUAAAACAAAAUUAAAUAAAUAAAUAAAAAUUUACGGAAAUUAACGAACAAAACAGCUGAUCUAAAUGACAGUUCGUUGACAACUUUGCCGAGGUAUAACGAAACAGCUAUUUUUAUUAUACAAAGUCGUUAAUAUUUACAUUAAUUUACACUUCUGUGACAAAUAAUUACUGAUGUCAUUGUAUGAUCAUGGAAAAAAGCCUUCUGUCGAAAUUGACUAUGAUGGAAUUGAGAUUGACGCCGGACCAUAACGAAUUUGAGAGGUAAAAAAAAAAAAAAAACCCUUAUAAAUUACGCUAACUGUUCUUAACAUGGUUCCUGUAUCAGGGGACAGUGUUUUGUAGCAGAAUAUAUUACUACACAACACAUUCUUAAAAUAAUCUGGUGAAAAUUUUAUUACGAAAGUUCAAAGUGAAGUUUUUGACAGAACCAGACAAAGAAAGACACGGAAACAUGUCAAACCAAUCAAGUAGCGCCAUCUAUUGGCGAAGGCAAGUAAUAUCAUAUAAAGGGAAACUACUUCCACUACAUUUUAACCUCGGUUCCAUUGAAUUGGUAAUUAGGACGAUAAUUGCCAAUUAGUGACUCGGUGUUCGUAUCCGAAUACGAAUAUCACAACAUGUUGACGUGAAAGAAAUCUCUCCAUUCAGAAAUGCCUUUGAUAUUCUCAUCAACUUACAUCAACUAAAACAAGACGAUAUAUUUAUAAGGAGCAUUCAUAAAUAAGUCUACCUCUUUAUAUAAAUACAGUCUAUAACAAAGAACAGCAGAAUAUUUUUCUUUCUCUGGAAUGUAGAGGAGGUGAUCGCUUUCCUGGUUAAUUAAAGUUCCAUAAAUUUACAAAGGAGUUGACAAUUUCCAUCUGCUGUUUUAGAUAUCGAGUAAGAUCGUGGAUGAAAGAAACAUUGUAUUAAAUUAUCCUUUCAAUGUAGUGACACAACGGAACAUAAACUUAUUCAUAGAAAUGAAAAACACAUUAUCACUGUGAUAUGUGUGAUAAAUAAUUCUCUCAUAAUGAAUAAUUUAACUAAACCAGAAAACACUAAUACAGGAGAGAAACCAUAUCACUGUGAUAUCUGUGGUAAAUCCUUCUCUCAAAGGAGUGACUUAACUAGACACCAAUGUACACAUACAGGAGAGAAGCCAUUUCAUUGUGAUAUCCGUGGUAAAUCAUUCCCUCACAAUAGUAAGUUAACUAGUCACACACAUACACAUACAGGAGAAGGGCCACAUCAUUGCAAUAUCUGUGGUAAAGCAUUCUCUCGAGCCAGUCACUUGAAAACACACAAACGUAUUCAUACGGGAGAGAAGCCAUUUCAUUGUGAUAUUUGUGGUAAAUCAUUCUCUUGUCAUGGUAACUUGACUACUCACUCGCGUAUUCAUUCUGGAGAAAAACCAUAUCACUGCGAUAUCUGUGGUAAAUCAUUCCCUCAAAAUAGUCACUUGACUAAACACAAGCGUGUUCAUACAGGAGAGAAACCAGAUCACUGUGAGAUCUGCGGUAAAUCAUUUUUUGAAAGGGGUAAUUUAACUAAACACCAGCGCAUUCACACAGGAGAGAAGCUUUAUAAUUGUGAUAUUUGCGAUGAAUCGUUUUAUGCAGCUGGAAACAUGAAACAGCACAAACGUAUUCAUACAGGAGAGAAACCAUAUCAUUGUAAUAUCUGUGGUAAAUCAUUUUCUGCAGCUAGCAAUUUAACUAUUCACAAACGUAUUCAUACAGGAGAGAAACCAUAUCGUUGUAAUAUCUGUGGUGAAUCGUUCUCGCAAACGAGUAUUUUAACUAGACACAAACGUGUUCAUACGGGAGAGAAGCCAUAUCACUGUGAUAUCUGUGGUAAAUCGUUCUCUGAAAAUAACGUUUUAACUAAACAUAAGCAUAUUCAUACUGGAGAGAAGACAUAUCAGUGUGAUAUUUGUGGUAAAUCAUUCUCUUGUAAUAGUCAAUUAACUAAUCACAAACGCAUUCAUACAGGAGAAAAACCUUAUCAUUGUGAUAUCUGUGGUAAAUCAUUCUCUCAAAGUACUCACUUGGCUAACCACAAACUUACACAUACAGGAGAGAAAGCGUAUCAUUGCGAUAUCUGUGGUAAAUCAUUCUCUCGUAAUAGUCAAUUGGUUAAUCACAAACGCAUUCACACAGGAGAGAAACCAUAUCACUGUAAUAUCUGUGGUAAAUCAUUCUCUCAAAGAAGUCACUUGACUAAUCACAAACCUUCACAUGCAAGAGAGGAGCCGUAACCAGGCAUUAGCUAUUGCAGUUCAUUUUUUUGUAAAUGGUGUUUUAAUUAUACGUGCAAAUAUUCUCGACAGACUGAACUUAUGUCAUGGUCAUUUUCUCAUAGACCUAACUUAAAAUGUCCAUGAAUGAAUUCCUACAAGAGGGAAGCCAUGUCACUGUGACAUCUCUGGCAAAUCAUUCUCUCGAUAAAGCCACAUGUGUACACAUGUGGGUAUUCACACAAACUUGUAACUGUAUCAGUGUUAAAUUUUAUUAAAAUAUAACAACAAUUAACACUAUUCUGUCUGCUAAAACACAGGCUUUUUUCCUCCAUCAACUUUGACAUCAUUAACUUCGAUACUGUUAAUGUCUAUCACAAAUUUGUCGUCAUCUCUAAAAAUAUUGACACUGACAUAACUUCAUCAUCAUCAUCAUCGUUUAAAGUCCGCUUUCCAUGCUAGCAUGGGUUGGACGAUUUGACUGAGGACUGGUGAAUCAGAUGGCUACACCAGGCUCCAAUCGAAUUUGGCAGAGUUUCUACAGCUGGAUGCCCUUCCUAAAGUCAACCACUCCGAGAGUGUAGUGGGUGCUUUUACGUGUCACCCGCACGAAGGCCAGUCAGGCGGUACUGGCAACGGCCACGCUCAAAAUGGUGUAUUUUAUGUGCCACCCGCACAAGAGCCAGUCCAGGGGCACUGGCAACGAUCUCGCUCGAAAGUCCUUACACAUGCCGCGCGCACAAGUGCCAGAAAGGAGACGCUGGGCACAGGUGCCAUCCUGAUUUCGCUUUCGCUUGCCCCAGUAAGUCUUCGCAAGCUGAGUUUCGUGUCCAAUGAUGGAGACGACGUUGGCAUGGGUGCUGAAAAUGCCUUUGGCUGGACUUUGAGGAAUUUCUUUAAAAAGAAUAAUGAAUAAAUAGUUUAUUUUGUGUUUGUUGUGUUACUGUGUAUCUGGACGCUGUCUCCUUUAUACCUGAAACCUUUCAACUUGCUCAACGUCACACUUCUUCAAAACUACUUUCCUCUGUCCCAGUUGUGGGCUAUUUUCUCUUGUAAGGGGCUUGGUGGACCCUGUUGGCUUUUGUCGUCGCACAGAAAUCACUGGUGACAUAAAAACUGUCACUGAAAAAAGAAAACAAAAAAAACAAAAAAACCACCCAGUGCACUCUGUAGAAUGGUUAACAUUAGGAAAUGCAUUCUGCAGUGGAAAACAAACCAAAACAGACAAGGGGAACUCGUGCAGCUGAAGGCCUUGUCAGCUCCAGUCGAACCAUCCAACAUAUGGCCUGAAUGGAAAAGAAGAAAUGCAAUCAAACAAUGGGAAAUAACUUCUACAACACUUCGUUGGGGUUGUCGAGAGGUAGACCCGCGUUACGGCGCGCACUCUCUCCUGAUGACGUCAUACACUUGCUGGUUUCCGGUAUGCGGAGUUCUUGACUGGGAGUACUUUGCAUGUGAAGGGGUUUGCCAAACAUCGUUGUUAUUAUUUAUUUAGACUAAUUAGUCAUUCGGUCGCUGAUUCGCAGUUUUUGUCUGAAUACGAAUAUCACAUCAUGUUGACGUGAAAGAAAUCUCUCCAUUCAGAAAUACCUUUGAUAUUCUCAUCAACUUACAUCAACUAAAACAAGACGAUAUAUUUAUAAGGAGCAUUCAUCAAUAAGUCAACCUCUUUAUAUAAAUACAGUCUAGAACAAAGAACAACCAAAUAUUUUUCUUUCUCUCGAAUGUAGAGGAGGUGAUCGCUUUCCAGGUUAAUUAAAGUUCCAUAAAUUUACAAAGGAGUUGACAAUUUCCAUCUGCUGUUUUAGAUAUCGAGUAAGAUCGUGGAUGAAAGAAACAAUGUAUUAAAUUAUCCUUUCAAUGUAGUGACACAACGGAACAUAAACUUAUUCAUAGAAAUGAAAAACACAUUAUCACUGUGAUAUGUAUAAUAAAUGAUUCUCUCAUAAUGA